rnacentral:tRNA from 2 species
GGAGAGGUGCCCGAGCCUGGCCGAAGGGGCACGACUGGAAAUCGUGCGUCCCCUCUAAAAGGGGGACCGUGGGUUCGAAUCCCACCCUCUCCGCCA